rnacentral:rRNA from 1 species
GGUUAAGCGACUAAGCGUACACGGUGGAUGCCCUGGCAGUCAGAGGCGAUGAAGGACGUGCUAAUCUGCGAAAAGCGCCGGCGAGGUGAUAUGAACCCUUGACCCGGCGAUGUCCGAAUGGGGAAACCCAGUGCAAUCCGUUGCACUAUCGUUAACUGAAUACAUAGGUUAACGAGGCGAACCGGGGGAACUGAAACAUCUAAGUACCCCGAGGAAAAGAAAUCAACCGAGAUUCCCCCAGUAGCGGCGAGCGAACGGGGAGCAGCCCGGAGUCUGAAUCAGCUUGUGUGUUAGUGGAACGGUCUGGAAAGUCCGACGGUACAGGGUGAUAGUCCCGUACACGAAAGCACACAUGCUGUGAACUCGAAGAGUAGGGCGGGACACGUGGUAUCCUGUCUGAAUAUGGGGGGACCAUCCUCCAAGGCUAAAUACUCCUGACUGACCGAUAGUGAACCAGUACCGUGAGGGAAAGGCGAAAAGAACCCCGGCGAGGGGAGUGAAAAAGAACCUGAAACCGUGUACGUACAAGCAGUGGGAGCCUCUUUAUGGGGUGACUGCGUACCUUUUGUAUAAUGGGUCAGCGACUUAUAUUCUGUAGCAAGGUUAACCGUAUAGGGGAGCCGAAGGGAAACCGAGUCUUAACUGGGCGUUAAGUUGCAGGGUAUAGACCCGAAACCCGGUGAUCUAGCCAUGGGCAGGUUGAAGGUUGGGUAACACUAACUGGAGGACCGAACCGACUAAUGUUGAAAAAUUAGCGGAUGACCUGUGGCUGGGGGUGAAAGGCCAAUCAAACCGGGAGAUAGCUGGUUCUCCCCGAAAGCUAUUUAGGUAGCGCCUCGUGAACUCAUCUUCGGGGGUAGAGCACUGUUUCGGCUAGGGGGCCAUCCCGGCUUACCAACCCGAUGCAAACUACGAAUACCGAAGAAUGUUAUCACGGGAGACACACGGCGGGUGCUAACGUCCGUCGUGAAGAGGGAAACAACCCAGACCGCCAGCUAAGGUCCCAAAGUCAUGGUUAAGUGGGAAACGAUGUGGGAAGGCACAGACAGCCAGGAUGUUGGCUUAGAAGCAGCCAUCAUUUAAAGAAAGCGUAAUAGCUCACUGGUCGAGUCGGCCUGCGCGGAAGAUGUAACGGGGCUAAACCAUGCACCGAAGCUGCGGCAGCGACACUAUGUGUUGUUGGGUAGGGGAGCGUUCUGUAAGCCGUUGAAGGUGUGCUGUGAGGCAUGCUGGAGGUAUCAGAAGUGCGAAUGCUGACAUAAGUAACGAUAAAGCGGGUGAAAAGCCCGCUCGCCGGAAGACCAAGGGUUCCUGUCCAACGUUAAUCGGGGCAGGGUGAGUCGACCCCUAAGGCGAGGCCGAAAGGCGUAGUCGAUGGGAAACAGGUUAAUAUUCCUGUACUUGGUGUUACUGCGAAGGGGGGACGGAGAAGGCUAUGUCAGCCGGGCGACGGUUGUCCCGGUUUAAGCAUGUAGGCGGAGGUUCCAGGUAAAUCCGGUACCUUAUUAACGCUGAGGUGUGAUGACGAGGCACUACGGUGCUGAAGUGAUAAAUGCCCUGCUUCCAGGAAAAGCCUCUAAGCAUCAGGUAACACGAAAUCGUACCCCAAACCGACACAGGUGGUCAGGUAGAGAAUACCAAGGCGCUUGAGAGAACUCGGGUGAAGGAACUAGGCAAAAUGGUGCCGUAACUUCGGGAGAAGGCACGCUGAUAUGUAGGUGAAGCCCCUGCGGGCGGAGCUGAAAUCAGUCGAAGAUACCAGCUGGCUGCAACUGUUUAUUAAAAACACAGCACUGUGCAAACACGAAAGUGGACGUAUACGGUGUGACGCCUGCCCGGUGCCGGAAGGUUAAUUGAUGGGGUUAGCGGCAACGCGAAGCUCUUGAUCGAAGCCCCGGUAAACGGCGGCCGUAACUAUAACGGUCCUAAGGUAGCGAAAUUCCUUGUCGGGUAAGUUCCGACCUGCACGAAUGGCGUAAUGAUGGCCAGGCUGUCUCCACCCGAGACUCAGUGAAAUUGAACUCGCUGUGAAGAUGCAGUGUACCCGCGGCAAGACGGAAAGACCCCGUGAACCUUUACUAUAGCUUGACACUGAACACUGGUCCUUGAUGUGUAGGAUAGGUGGGAGGCUUUGAAGCGUGGACGCCAGUCUGCGUGGAGCCAACCUUGAAAUACCACCCUUUAAUGGCUGGUGUUCUAACGUGGACCCGUAAUCCGGGUUGCGGACAGUGUCUGGUGGGUAGUUUGACUGGGGCGGUCUCCUCCCAAAGAGUAACGGAGGAGCACGAAGGUUGGCUAAUCCUGGUCGGACAUCAGGAGGUUAGUGCAAUGGCAUAAGCCAGCUUGACUGCGAGCGUGACGGCGCGAGCAGGUGCGAAAGCAGGUCAUAGUGAUCCGGUGGUUCUGAAUGGAAGGGCCAUCGCUCAACGGAUAAAAGGUACUCCGGGGAUAACAGGCUGAUACCGCCCAAGAGUUCAUAUCGACGGCGGUGUUUGGCACCUCGAUGUCGGCUCAUCACAUCCUGGGGCUGAAGUAGGUCCCAAGGGUAUGGCUGUUCGCCAUUUAAAGUGGUACGCGAGCUGGGUUUAGAACGUCGUGAGACAGUUCGGUCCCUAUCUGCCGUGGGCGCUGGAGAAUUGAGGGGGGCUGCUCCUAGUACGAGAGGACCGGAGUGGACGCAUCACUGGUGUUCGGGUUGUCAUGCCAAUGGCACUGCCCGGUAGCUAAAUGCGGAAGAGAUAAGUGCUGAAAGCAUCUAAGCACGAAACUUGCCCCGAGAUGAGUUCUCCCUGAGACUUUAAGUCUCCUGAAGGAACGUUGAAGACGACGACGUUGAUAGGUCGGGUGUGUAAGCGCAGCGAUGCGUUGAGCUAACCGAUACUAAUGAACCGUGAGGCUUAACCUU